GGAACUAGUUGUUGUGGUCCU
rnacentral:siRNA from 1 species